rnacentral:rRNA from 1 species
CGAACGCUGGCGGCAGGCCUAACACAUGCAAGUCGAACGAACCUUUCGGGGUUAGUGGCGGACGGGUGAGUAACACGUGGGAACGUGCCUUUAGGUUCGGAAUAACUCAGGGAAACUUGUGCUAAUACCGAAUGUGCCCUUCGGGGGAAAGAUUUAUCGCCUUUAGAGCGGCCCGCGUCUGAUUAGCUAGUUGGUUGAGGUAAUGGCUCACCAAGGCGACGAUCAGUAGCUGGUCUGAGAGGAUGAUCAGCCACAUUGGGACUGAGACACGGCCCAAACUCCUACGGGAGGCAGCAGUGGGGAAUCUUGCGCAAUGGGCGAAAGCCUGACGCAGCCAUGCCGCGUGAAUGAUGAAGGUCUUAGGAUUGUAAAAUUCUUUCACCGGGGACGAUAAUGACGGUACCCGGAGAAGAAGCCCCGGCUAACUUC